CCUAGAGGACGACCUCUCGGACGACUGCUAGGACGACCUCGAGGACGACCUCG
rnacentral:ncRNA from 1 species